CAGCCGCCGCGGUAAUACGGAGGGUGCAAGCGUUAAUCGGAAUUACUGGGCGUAAAGCGUGCGUAGGCGGUUCGUUAAGUCUGUUGUGAAAGCCCCGGGCUCAACCUGGGAAUGGCAAUGGAUACUGGCGAGCUAGAGUGUGUCAGAGGAUGGUGGAAUUCCCGGUGUAGCGGUGAAAUGCGUAGAGAUCGGGAGGAACAUCAGUGGCGAAGGCGGCCAUCUGGGACAACACUGACGCUGAGGCACGAAAGCGUGGGGAGCAAACAGGAUUAGAUACCCCGGUAGUCCCUGUCUCUUAUAC
rnacentral:rRNA from 1 species